GGCCCCUUGGCCUAGUGGAUAAGGCGUCGGAUUCCGAAUCCGAAAACGCGAGUUCGAAUCCCGCAGGGGCUC